GAGUCCCAAAUAGGACGAAACGCGCGUCCUGGAU
rfam:Schistosoma rodhaini strain Burundi genome assembly, scaffold: SROB_contig0003428